GACGAACGCUGGCGGCGUGCUUAACACAUGCAAGUCGAACGGUAAGGCCCUUCGGGGUACACGAGUGGCGAACGGGUGAGUAACACGUGGGUGAUCUGCCCUGCACUUCGGGAUAAGCCUGGGAAACUGGGUCUAAUACCGGAUAGGACUCCGGACUGCAUGGUCUGGGGUGGAAAGCUUUUGCGGUGUGGGAUGGGCCCGCGGCCUAUCAGCUUGGUGGUGGGGUGAUGGCCUACCAAGGCGACGACGGGUAGCCGGCCUGGGAGGGUGACCGGCCACACUGGGACUGAGAUACGGCCCAGACUCCUACGGGAGGCAGCAGUGGGGAAUAUUGCACAAUGGGCGCAAGCCUGAUGCAGCGACGCCGCGUGAGGGAUGACGGCCUUCGGGUUGUAAACCUCUUUCAGCAUCGACGAAGCGAAAGUGACGGUAGGUGCAGAAGAAGGACCGGCCAACUACGUGCCAGCCGCCGCGGUAA
rnacentral:rRNA from 1 species